rnacentral:rRNA from 1 species
GACGAACCGUGCGAACGUUAUUCGGAAUCACUGGGCUUAAAGCGCGUGUAGGCGGCCCGGAGCAUCGUCGGCUGAAAUCCCCCGGCUCAACCGGGGAACGGGCCACGACGAUGUCCGGGCUGGAGGGGGGUAGGGGGAGCCGGAAGCUCACGGUGGAGCGGUGAAAUGCGUUGAGAUCGUGAAGGAACGCCCGUGGCGAAAGCGGGCUCCUGG